rnacentral:rRNA from 1 species
CCUACGGGUGGCAGCAGUGAGGAAUAUUGGUCAAUGGGCGCGAGCCUGAACCAGCCAAGUAGCGUGAAGGAUGACUGCCCUACGGGUUGUAAACUUCUUUUAUAAAGGAAUAAAGUGAGGCACGUGUACCUAUUUGUAUGUACUUUAUGAAUAAGGAUCGGCUAACUCCGUGCCAGCAGCCGCGGUAAUACGGAGGAUCCGAGCGUUAUCCGGAUUUAUUGGGUUUAAAGGGAGCGUAGGUGGAUUGUUAAGUCAGUUGUGAAAUUUUGCGGCUCAACCCUAGAAUUGCAAUUGAUACUGGCAACCUAGAGUGUAGAUGAGGUAGGCGGAA